CAGUCGCCGCGGUAAUACAGAGGGUGCGAGCGUUAAUCGGAUUUACUGGGCGUAAAGCGUGCGUAGGCGGCUUCUUAAGUCGGAUGUGAAAUCCCUGAGCUUAACUUAGGAAUUGCAUUCGAUACUGGGAAGCUAGAGUAUGGGAGAGGAUGGUAGAAUUCCAGGUGUAGCGGUGAAAUGCGUAGAGAUCUGGAGGAAUACCGAUGGCGAAGGCAGCCAUCUGGCCUAAUACUGACGCUGAGGUACGAAAGCAUGGGGAGCAAACAGGAUUAGAUACCCGUGUAGUCCCUGUCUAUUAUAC
rnacentral:rRNA from 1 species